CCUACGGGGGUCUGCAGUGGGGAAUAUUGGGCAAUGGGCGCAAGCCUGACCCAGCAAAGCCGCGUGAAGGAAGAAGGCUUUCGGGUUGUAAACUUCUUUUCUCAGGGACGAAGAAAGUGACGGUACCGGAGGAAUAAGCCACGGCUAACUACGUGCCAGCCGCCGCGGUAAUACGUAGGGGGCACGCGUUAUCCGGAUUUACUGGGUGUAAAGGGCGUGUAGGCGGGACUUCAAGUCAGAUGUGAAAACCACGGGCUCAACCUGUGGCCUGCAUUUGAAACUGUAGUUCUUGAGUACUGGAGGGGCAGACGGAAUUCCUAGUGUAGCGGUGAAAUGCUUAGAUAUUAGGAGGAACACCAGUGGCGAAGGCGGUCUGCUGGACAGCAACUGACGCUGAGGCGCGAAAGCGUGGGUAGCAAACAGGAUUAGAUACCCUAGUAGUC
rnacentral:rRNA from 1 species